rnacentral:tRNA from 1 species
GGGCCGUUCUGCUAAUGGCAAGCUCCGCGGUUAGUCACCUGCGGGAAUGCGGGUUCGAGUCCCGCACGGUCCA